CUUUGCCGGGAACAGAUCAAGGAUGCAAGCUAUCCAACUCCUGUAGAGUUAAUGAGCCCUGGAAGCUGAGAGAUAAAGCGACUUUGCCCAUUGAGGCCAUGAAACAAAUCAGCAUCAGAGCAGCUGGGUUUAGGGGUGCUGACACUCAAGGGAAGAGCUCCCCAUAAACAUCCAGUAAGCCACCUUAUUGUCCUUCUUCAAAUGCUUCUUUGCCGUGAUUCCUAUAAAAAGCUGGAUAACGUCAAGGCAACUGAGUCAAAUCAGGGCUACCCAGAUCUUCGCUGCAGAGGAGGAGAACAGUUAUUCCAUACCAGAAACUCCCUCAAGGAAUGACAAGAGUUGACCAGGAGGCACAGAAAGUGUUCAUGGUCAUAGCUCCACACUCCAUGAGUUUGCUGGAUAAGUGGGAUAGGGAGUACGCUGAGCCCUUGAAAGGACUGUAGUCGAUUAUUGUGUAUGUACCCUCCAGACAGUUGUGCCAGAGGAAUUGUGGCUGAGUGGCAUCCCAGUUGCAAUGCUCCUUGAGACAGCGCAGCUAAACACCACCCCUAAUCAAACUUGGGUUGCCGAGCUUUACUAGCAAUUCUGCUUCAGCUUCUAAAUGGGUCUCGUUAACCCAACUUUUCCAACUGCCAACACCAGGUAUGGGAGGGGAACGCACCAUUAUACCGCUCGGCUGCCAGCACAAUGUGCAAUGUUUCAAAUAUUUUCACUUGAGCAAACGUUUCCCAGACAGCUGCCUUGUAUCCCAAAAGAAAAGUGGUUUGUGUGUGUGUGUGUAGCCGAGAUUGUGUGCAGAGAGCACCAGAGGACAGUGUGCCUCAGGGAGCACCAUUUCUUCCUAAGAUCCAUCCAGACCUUUACAGUGAAUAAGUACUCUACACUGUCCAUUAGAAUGGUGUAGAUCGCCCCCAAGGUGUACUGACCCUGCUCCAUAGGCUGGUAUGGGGCCUUGUCUCCACCUACUCUCUGCCCUCCCGUUGAUCUUAGAGUACUAUACUUCCCUGGGGAGUAAUUAGGGAGUAGUCAAUGCUCUCCCCUGAAUGCAGGGACUGCAGUUUUACCCAGAUGUUACACAGACUGUUUAUGUGUGUGAGAUGCGCAUGGGACUCCCAACCUGACUCCUAACCAUCAUGUGAGGGCUGGGCAGAAUCUAGCCCUGCAUUCUGGUAGUCUCACCCCUUAGUCUCAAACCUUUCCUGGUGGCCUCUAAUUCCUAUGAUUCAUUUGCUGGUGCCUGUGGCAAAAGAGGAGUGAAGCAGUUAGAACAAUAUCUGACUGUUAAAUGUCUGGCUUUUAACACAAGGCAUGUGUGAGGCAUUUUAUGACUGUUCAGUAAUAACACUUUUUAUGAAUGGUUGGAGAUAACAUGUCUCAUCACCUUGUUCCUCACAGGACGUUCUGGUAAACAAAACAUUUUAUACUAGUGAGCUUUCCCUGUAAAAUUUUAAAUAAAUAAGAUUUUUCCCUCACCCUUCUUAAAGCUGCCCUUGCUAAAAGUCAGCAUCAAUGCUUUGGUAAAAUGGUUCAAGAUUCCUAAUCCUUGCUACCUUUCUUAGCCCUGCUCAGUGUAUGACUGUGGCCAU